rnacentral:rRNA from 1 species
GACGUAGGGGGCGAAUGUUCCUGGGAAUUACUGGGCGGAGAGGGGCUGUAGGCGGUCAUACAAGUUAGCUGUUAACGACCUAUGCUCAACGUAGGGAGAGCAGCUAAGACUGUAUAGCUCGAGUACAGCAAGGGAUGGUGGAAUUCCCGGUGUAGGGGUGAAAUCUGUAGAGAGCGGGAGGAAUACCGAUGGCGAAGGCGACCAUCUAGGCUGAUACUGACGUUGUGGGGCGAAAGCCAGGGGAGCAAGCGGG